rnacentral:rRNA from 1 species
UUGAAGAGUUUGAUCAUGGCUCAGGAUGAACGCUAGCGACAGGCUUAACACAUGCAAGUCGAGGGGCAGCGGGGGAGCAGCAAUGCUCCCGCCGGCGACCGGCGCACGGGUGAGUAACACGUAUGGAACCUGCCCGCAGCAGGGGGAUAAGCGGAAGAAAUUCCGUCUAAUACCGCGUAACACCGCGGAGGGGCAUCCCUUCGCGGUUAAAGAUUCAUCGGCUGCGGAUGGCCAUGCGGCGCAUUAGCUAGUCGGCGGGGUAACGGCCCACCGAGGCGACGAUGCGUAGGGGUUCUGAGAGGAAGGUCCCCCACACUGGUACUGAGACACGGACCAGACUCCUACGGGAGGCAGCAGUGAGGAAUAUUGGUCAAUGGCCGGGAGGCUGAACCAGCCAAGUCGCGUGAGGGAAGACGGCCCUACGGGUUGUAAACCUCUUUUGUCAGGGAGCAAGAGGCGGGUCGAGACCUGCUGUGAGAGUACCUGAAGAAAAAGCAUCGGCUAACUCCGUGCCAGCAGCCGCGGUAAUACGGAGGAUGCGAGCGUUAUCCGGAUUUAUUGGGUUUAAAGGGUGCGCAGGCGGAGGCACAAGUCAGCGGUAAAAUCGCGGGGCUCAACCCCGCUCCGCCGUUGAAACUGUGUCCCUUGAGUGCGCGAAGGGUAGGCGGAAUGCGUGGUGUAGCGGUGAAAUGCAUAGAUAUCACGCAGAACUCCGAUCGCGAAGGCAGCCUACCGGCGCGCAACUGACGCUCAUGCACGAAAGCGUGGGUAUCGAACAGGAUUAGAUACCCUGGUAGUCCACGCAGUAAACGAUGAAUGCUAUCUGUCCGGCCGGAAUGACGGCUGGGUGGCACAGCGAAGGCGUUAAGCAUUCCACCUGGGGAGUACGCCGGCAACGGUGAAACUCAAAGGAAUUGACGGGGGCCCGCACAAGCGGAGGAACAUGUGGUUUAAUUCGAUGAUACGCGAGGAACCUUACCCGGGCUCAAACGACGCAGGGAUGUAUGUGAAAGCAUACAGUCCUUUCAGGACCUGCGUCGAGGUGCUGCAUGGUUGUCGUCAGCUCGUGCCGUGAGGUGUCGGCUUAAGUGCCAUACGAGCGCAACCCCCAUCUUCAGUUGCCAUCAGGUUAAGCUGGGCACUCUGGAGAGACUGCCGGCGCAAGCUGCGAGGAAGGCGGGGAUGACGUCAAAUCAGCACGGCCCUUACGUCCGGGGCGACACACGUGUUACAAUGGCAGGUACAGCGGGAAGCCAGGCGGCGACGCCGAGCGGAACCCGAAAACCUGUCUCAGUUCGGAUCGGAGUCUGCAACCCGACUCCGUGAAGCUGGAUUCGCUAGUAAUCGCGCAUCAGCCAUGGCGCGGUGAAUACGUUCCCGGGCCUUGUACACACCGCCCGUCAAGCCAUGGAAGCCGGGGGUGCCUGAAGUGUGCAGCCGCAAGGAGCGCCCUAAGGUAAAACCGGUGACUGGGGCUAAGUCGUAACAAGGUAACC